GAUGAAGAACGUAGCGAAAUGCGAUAAGUAAUGUGAAUUGCAGAAUUUAGUGAAUCAUCGAAUCUUUGAACGCACAUUGCGCCCGCCAGCAUUCUGGCGGGCAUGCCUGUUCGAGCGUCAUUUCAACCCUCGCAGCCCAUCUGGGCAGCGGUGUUGGGGACCGGCACCACCGGCGAAGCCCUUAGGGGCCCAGCCGGCGCCGCCCCCGAAAUACAGUGGCGGUCUCGCUGCAGCCUCCCUUGCGUAGUAGCACACCUCGCACCGGAGCGCAGCGCGGCCACGCCGUAAAACCCCCGACUUUCUGAGUUUGACCUCGAAUCAGGUAGGAAUACCCGCUGAACUUAAGCAUAUCAAUAAGCGGAGGA
rnacentral:misc_RNA from 1 species